AUUGAACGCUGGCGGCAGGCCUAACACAUGCAAGUCGAGCGAGCGGCGGACGGGUGAGUAAUGUAUGGGGAUCUGCCUGAUCGAGGGGGAUAACUACUGGAAACGGUGGCUAAUACCGCAUACUAUCGGAUGAACCCACAUGGGAUUAGCUAGUAGGUGGGGUAAAGGCGCACCUAGGCGACGAUCCCUAGCGGGUCUGCGAGGGUGAUCAGCCACACUGGGACUGAGACACGGCCCAGAAUCCUACGGGAGGCAGCAGUGGGGAAUAGUGCGCAAUGGGCGCAAGCCUGAUGCAGCCAUGCCGCGUGUAUGAAGAAGGUCUUAGGGUUGUAAAGCACUGUCGGCGGGGAGGCGUUACCCGCAGAGGAAGCACCGGCUAACUACGUGCCAGCAGCCGCGGUAAUAC
rnacentral:rRNA from 1 species